GUGCAAGCUUCCAGCAUGCUUGGGUCUGGGGUGACCCUGUGCAUUCCAACAGUGCUUGCGAGAACAAGAUGAAAUGGUUUGAGGCCUUGCCCUGCUUCCUCCAGAGCAAGAUUAUAGAAAUUUCAAAUAAUU